rnacentral:tRNA from 1 species
ACCUAAAUAGCUUAUAUUUAGAGAGCAUAACAUUGAAGAUGUUAGGGAGAUAUUUUUAUUUUUAGGUA